UGAGGUGUCAUAAAAUAUCUAUUCCUCCAACCACAGACUCUCAACUUACCAGUAGCACUAUUGUGCAUUGCAAGCUUUAACUCUGUCCUAUAGAGAUGUCAGCCUUCCAGCAUCCCACUUAACUAAAUUACCCCUACAAACACAGAGAAACUGGGACUGGGAAACAGUAGUUAGGCAAGAAGAACAGGACUGGACAGAGGAGCUGGGGUAGCAAAGAGACAGGACUCGGAUAGAGAGAGAUUGGAGGAGAAGGGACAGAAGGGCCUGUGACCACCAGAACACACCCUCCACCAGACCCUGGAUUGGAAUCCAAGAUUCACAACUCUCACCAUCCCACUACCAUGAGUAAAUAUAUGUGAAGCCCACUGGCAACAUGUCUCAUCCCCCUCUAAUGCAGCUCCACAUAGCAGUAGUAGAGGUUGUCAUCCUUUAUCAGUUAUUACCCUUAGCUCAAAUUGCAGUGGUCUGUGCAGUAGACCUGAAGGUUCCAACCCCCCUGGAUGAUCAUAUGGAUAUCACUACGAUGCCAUUUGAUGGAAUUUGUUUCUUUAAUUUGCUUUUUUAAAACCUAGAAAAUUUACACAUAUCCAACCAUAUGUUAAGACUGCAAAAUCAACUUGGCAACCUUAGCGUCUAAUGUACUUUUAUGGGUGUAAUUUAUAUGUUAUGUAUUUGGCAUUAGAUGCCCCCUACAGCUCAGAGCAGCAAUGCUUGGAGGGAAAGUGCCCCUUUUUAUCUUGAUUCAAGCUCUGGAUUAUCAAGGUAAGAAAUCUGAGAAAAUUAAAAGUAAAAUUUAGUACAGCAUUUUUUCCAGUGACCCUGACUUUGCAAUAAGUUAAGAUUUAUACACAAAAUAAGUCUUUUUUUUUAAAGGGGUCUUAUCCCAAGAUAGAUAAACUAUAAGCCCAUCCAAGUCUGAAAGGAAGCCCCUAGGGAUCCCCUACGACAGUAGCAGGGGACACAAGAGCAGAUUGUUUGGCUGCAGAAGCACUUCAGCAGCUGCAGGGUGGGCAGUACAAAGAUCCAACACUCCACUUUCUCAGUCUUUUUUUUCCAAUGAGAGGAGGACAGUCAUCAGAAUACACUGCCCCCGGCCCUUUGAUGCAAAAAGAAACCCAGGAAGGAGCAGGAAUCACUCCACGCCGAAAACACAAUCUUCACAUCCUAAAGGAAAUGCUAGAAAGAAGAUGAAUGCUUGAAUGCAUAUACUUGUGUUGAUGUAUGUUUGGAAAAGUCUUCACGACCUUUAGAAAAAUAUAUUGGCUUUUCUUUGAAGUCUUAUAAAUCCAUGACAAUUUAUGCUACUAUAUGAACUUUUCCCAACACUUCAAGUUUCUUUUCGGCAACCAAAACUUGUGACACAAAAGAAGGAUUACUUACCCCCUUGUAUAGUAUCUGGAGUUCUUCCGGAUGUGAGAUCCCUCUCUGUUUUCUACUGUAGAUGUGUAUGCACUGCAUGUGCCUGAGCCUGGAAGAUUUUUGCCAGCAGCAUCUGUUGGUCUGUCCCUGCGCUCUUCUCCUCCUCAUGCUUUGAACCAAGAACAUAUGUUGCAGCGUAGACAAAUAGUCUCUCCAGUCACCUUUUACUGCAAAUAACCCUACAAUAAGGCUCUGCAGGAGGGAGGAAGGAUGAUGGAUCGUGGAAUAUAGAUAGGGAUCACACAUCUCAAAGAACUCCAGUUACUGUACAAGGACAGUAACCACCCUCUCUUUUUCAAGUCGUGGUACCUAUGUGUAUUCUACUUGAGGUGACUCAUAAGCAAUAAUUAUUGAGGAGGAGGAUGGAAGGAACUUUGCUGUACCACAGACUGGAGGACUACUCUUCUGAGAGAUGCUUCUGCUGUAGACACUUGUGAGACAUUACGCUCCCAGUACAAAAAGUAUGAACAGAGCUGCUCUCCAGACCUCAGAGAGGGAGGUCUUGAAGCAAGACCACUAAUGCAGCCUGGGCUCUAAUCGAGUGUGCCCUCACAUCCUGAGGAGCUCACAACAAAGCAGUAUGCAGCAUGAAAUCCAUUUGAACAGACUGUAAGGAGAUGAAGUUAUCUCCCAUGCAUUCAGCAAAGGAAACAAGCAGUCUGGGGGAGUUUCUGAAUGAUUUCAUCCUUUGUAGGUAGAAGAGAGUGACGCUUCUUGUCCUCUCUAAUGGGUGGAACUUCGCUCAAAAGACAGUAGUUGGAUGCUCUGGUUCAGAUGGAAUUCUGAGAUUGUUUUAGGACUCAAUUUAGGGUAUAAUCUCAAGGAAAGUUUAUCCUUAUGAAAGACUAUAUAGAAAGGGUCAGCCAUAAGGACACCUAACUCACUCUCCUAGCAGAGGUGACUGCAAUCAGAAAUGCAACCUUCAUAAAGAAAUGUAUGAAUCAACAGGAAGCUACAGGUUAGAAUUGGGUAUGCAUCUGUGUUGAUAGGACAAGACUGAGGUCCCAUAUAUGGGUAGAUUCAGCACUGGAGGAAAGGUUUGGAUCAGUCCUUUCAGAAAUCUCACUAUAAUAUUAGAAAAGACAGUCCACUGGAGGAUGAAAAGUGCUAACAGCUGCCAAGUGGGCUCACAAGAAGCUGAUGUAUAGUCCUGUCAUUUUUAGAGAUAACCCACAAUAGUAGGGAUGUCAGAAAUUUCCAGGGGGCAUCUAAUGGUGCUGGCAUCAGGUAUGGAAAUGUUUUCCAUUUUGCUGCGUAACAUUUUCUCAUGGAAUCUUUACUACCCUUGCUAAGGAUGGAUUGCAUCACCUCUGAACAUGACUUUUCUAGGUCUGUCAUCCAUCCAAAACCACACUUUUUGAUAGACGGAUGCUGGGCUGGGGUAUCUGAUUUUGCUUUUGUCUUAAGUUAGUAGGUCUGGGAAGAGGGGAAAUAUAGAUACCUGGAUGUGAGGAGUUCCAAAAAAUACUCGGGAAUCUGAAGUGCUUGGGGUACUGAGGAGCAAUGAGGAUAACCAAUGCUCCAGCUUGUUUGAUCUUCCUCAGGACUCAAGGUAAGAGAAAGAUGGGUAGUAAUAUGCACAUCAGCUCUGGAGUUGUGGCCUUAAAUUGCUCUGGAGCAGGUGGUCAGCCACUUCUUGUUCUCCUGAGACGCAAAGAGAUCCCACGAUGGAAAUCUCCACUUCCAACAGCUAUCUAUAGCAUCAAGUUGUAUAGCUCCCACUCGUGAUCUUUGGAGAACUUUCUGCAGAGGCUGUCUGCCAAUGUGUUAUGCAUUCCUGGAAAGUCCACAGCCAAUAGGGCGACAUGGUGGUGAAUGCAACACUUUCAUAGAUUGACCGCUUCUAUGCAAAGAAGGGUGGACUUUACUCCCUGCCUACUUGUUUGUUGAUAAAGUAAGCCUGUCACAUUGUCUGACAUGACCCAGAUUUGAGGGGCCCAAAGAAAGAGGAAGAAUUGUUUGCAGGAUUUGUGCACUGCAAACAGCUUCAGAAAGUUUAUGUGCAAGUGGGAUUCUUGGUGGGUCCAAGUACCCUGUGCCACAUGUUCAUGGAGGUGGGCAAAUAACCCUACAAUAAGGCUCUGUACUUCCUAAAUCUGAUUUCUCUGUGGGCUGUCAUCUAAGUAGAAGAACCUUGACAAAACAGGUGAGCUGCCACUACAAGUAACACUUUUGUAAAUACUCUUGGUGCUGUUGAGAAAUGAAGGGGAGCAUUCUGUAUUGGUAAUGGCCUGGGCCCAUGGUAAAUCUCUGGAAUAUCCUAGGGUGCAGGGUGGAUAUAUCUAUUUGGAAAUAAGUCUCAAAUUGACAGCUAUAAAACCAGAGGCCCUUGUUUAGUGACGAGAUUAUUGAAGCCUCACUAAACAUCUACCGUCUGAACCACAGAUGAAGACGUUCAUUUGAGAUCUAGCAUGGGCCUCUGGCCUCCUUCCCUUUUGGGGAUGAGGAAAUAUCUUGGGUAAAAUAAUCUAUGCUGAAGAGGUACCAGUUCUAUGGCUCCCACACAGAACAGGAAGUCUACUUCUUAUCUGAGCAUCUGCUCACGAGAGGGGUCCCUGAAGAGGGAAGUGAAGAGGAAGAGAGGGCAACUCUAUCAGAUAACCCAGUGGUGGGCUGCAUGUGGCCCAUCAGGGUAAGCUGAUUGUGGGCUACGAGACAUUUUGCAGAUAUCCCUGUGGCCUGCUGCCUCCCAUUGGCAGGGAACGGCAAAUCACAGCCCCUGGGAGCUGCAGGGGUCUAUGUCUGAGGACAGUCAACAUCUGCAAAAUGUCUCACGGCGUGCAAUCAGUUUACUCUGAUGGGCUGCAUGCAGUCCGUGGGCCACAGGUUGCCCACCACCGAUGUAACCAAUGGUGAUAGUUUCCAGAACCCAUCUGUCUUAUGUUAUAUGGUACUAAGCCUGGGAAAAAUUAGCUAGGCAGUCAGCAAAUGGAGUAUAAGAAUCCUGAGCAUGUAACCGUGGCAGGUGGACUAAACUAAAGCUCUCAAAAGUCCUGUCAAAAGGUUUCCUUGGUGGGAGGCUGAAAGUAGAAUGAAGGGAUGACAUUGUUUACACUUUACUUCAUCCUCUAGCGUUUCUUAGGCAGGUCAUAUGCCCUCCCUCUGAUGGCAGAAUGGUUGGGAGCUGGUUGUCACUUCUACGGUUUAGACUUGCGGUAUUUCCUAUAUGGUUGAUAUUGAAUGAGUGAAGGAUUGCUCGAGUCUUUGAGGGAAGGUAAUGAUUUAGUUUUUUGCCCUCAAAAGCCAAAUCAUAAUGGAUUGAAUUUCUCUGGGAAAUCUGGAGCCACACAGCCAGAUGCGUGAAGUUCCCAUCAAGUGGGAGACUGUAUCCACUGGGGCCUGGAGGGCCAAGAUAGCUAGCAAUUUAUCUUCAUUGAUUGGAAAUUAAGUCUAUCUUCUUGAAUGAGUAUUACUGGUGAACUCAAAUAACUCAUUGUAAUUAAUAAAAUGAGCUUUCAACAUCAACGCUUGGUAGUUUGCUAGGUGGAACUGCAAACUCACUCAAGUUCUUCCUUACAAAGAGAUCUAAAUGUGUGGCCUCCUUAUCAGUGGGUGGAGAUCUUGGAUGGUGUUGUUUGCCUCACUAAAGGGUUCAGAGUGGGGUGCAAGAAUAAGUAUGCUGUCCCUUUAGAUGGCACAAAAUAUUUCUUCUGCUCUUGGAAUGAGAGCACCAGUGGCUGGAGAGGCUGGUUCUAAGACGGCCUCAUUAAUUGGCAGCAUAUCUAGCCCUUGAUGGAGAAUGGACAGCCUUGUGUCCUUUGGUGGCACUAAUAUUGCUGGCUUCAGACAGGCCACAUUCUUUGGUACCAGUCUGGUAUAGUCUGCAUAGGAGGCAUCUGCUGCCGCCUUCUUUUCCUCGCUAGUACCUUAUUCUUUGGCAGCUCCUGAUGCUCCUGUACUAGGGCACAGAAUCUUGCCCGACUUAGAGGGCCUCCUCUCUGACAUCUUUUCUGAUGAGGACCUGGAGGGGAAUUUCUCACAUUUCUUGCUCUUACCCUCCUCAAGUCUGUUUCAAAGGCAUUAGCGGAGUCUUUAGCCCUGUUCUGGUUAUCCUCAAAGCCAGAUACUACCAUGCUUGGAGAAGCACUUCUCAAUACCUCUACCUGGGUACAGAGGGUCUGAUGUGCCACGAUUGGACUCAGGCCUCAUUGCAUGGUCCAUCAGGAAUCUUCUAAGGCUGAACUCUCAGGAUCGACAGGUUUGGCGAGGGAAGAACUGAUAUAUAUUGCACUUGCAGGGAGUAUGAGUUUUCCCUAGGCAACAGAGGUAUGUGCAGUGGUCAUUGCUGACCACCCGUUCCCCCGUUAAUUUGGAGCAUUUGGAGAAGAAUGCAGGUGCAAAUCAACAGACAUUGCCAGCAAAAAUCUUCCUGUCUGAGGCACCCUGAAAGCAUGCACACCUCAAGUGGAAUAUAUGUAAGGACCAUCACUCAAAGACGAACAUAAUUUCUGGAUCCAGUCAUAAAUAGAGGAAACUGCAUCCAACCUGAGAUACUACAAGAAAGUUUGUGUUUUCUCAUAGGAACAGAUGUGCCCCAUGUAUGUAGAGGGAAACAGGACAAAACUCCAAAUUCUGUGACAAUUCUCUCAUUCCCCCAAAUACCUUCAAACCACACAAUUUUAGUUCACAGUUGAAAACACCUGUUAAUGUAAAUUGUGUCUAUUUUUAAGGAUGCACUCCCUCCCUCUCCUGUUGUCCAGAGCUCAGUUACACUAGUCUCAAAUAGUUGUGAUGUGGCCCCAAGUCCUGCUCAGGGCCUUUUUCCCUUCUACUAUAUGUGGAAAUGCUUGUAAUCGGCUUUAGUAGCUCAUCUUCACAGCUCCUUGGGCCUUAGCUGUGUUGUCAGUUAUCCUAGCAGCCAACCUGGCGAGCCUGCUGCAUCGCCUGCUAUAUCCUCUGCUCCCUGUCUGCAAAUUGGAUUCCAACACUGGCUCCCACACUCCUACUCACUGGUCCAUUGGAAAAAAUGCAGGGAGAACGUACCGUAAUCCAAUAACAUCCCCUUUGUGCGGAAAGCUAGAGACCACUGCAGACAAGUCCUGGCAAGGCAGGAAGAGAAGAUAAAAUGUCAGGUACCUAGUUUCUGCAGAAAGGUACAUUUCACAGAGAACUACUCAAGAGUUGAAGGAGCAGGUUUUUCCAUGGGUAUGGGAAACAACACUCUUUUCUUUGAGCUUGGAGUCUGCUUGCCCACAGCAAAUUGGAAUGCUGAAUCAAAAUUUUUAUUUUAGCACCCUUUUUGGGAAGAAAGCAGAGGGCUUAACUGGUUUUAAUGCUUUAGAAAUGGUAUGACUCCAAAGAGAACUUCCCUAUUGACUUAAAUAACUAUCACAUUGUGAGAAGGUAUAUAUUUUCAAUACAUACUCAAAAUAAGUGAAACUUCUUACAAAUACUUUCACAAUAUCUAAAGGCAGAACACAAAUUACAGAGGCUGUGCAUCCAUCAGCCACAAUAUGUCCCAUCUUUUGCAAAAUGAUGAAAACAGUCUCUUCUCUCAAUUCUUGGCCGUAAAACUGGUACACAAAAGACAGGCUUCAGCUUUUUCCACUAAUCUUUUAUCCAUGUAGCCCUUAGGUUCAUUAUAAACACUUCCCAACCUUUCAUGGGCCAGGAUGGCAAUUACCUUACCCCCGAACUUGCAAUUUCAGUCCUUUGUCAUACGAAUUACUAGGGUAGCUAUAUAUUCAAAAAACAUGCUGGACCAGACAGUACCCUCCAUACUACAGAACUAAUGGAAUUUGCCUUACCCCAAAGAGACAAGAGACAGACACACAAAGGCCAUUUUAUGGCAACAGCAGCAUGGUGGCCAACACUUAGAAAUGUAUAUGAAGAGGGGUCAGAAUAAUAUACACCUAUCGAAGUAAGUUUAUUGCAAACGGAUCAUUCCUUCCAGUGGAGACAAUGAUCUCAUAGCAACUGGAGAAAUUUGGUUAUCUAUCAUGUCAUCUUCAGAAGCACUCAGCAGCUUUUGAAGAAAAAGCCUCUUCCUAGACUAUGUGGGUGUCUGACUAUGUCCAUAACUGAUCUUUAAUUCUGACCCUAAAAGUCUGUUCUAUGAUGCCAUUUCUAAUUUACACCACCAGAAGAACCAGGAGAGGAAGUUACACAAUCCCCAUGACUGAAAAAUUAAAGCAUCAAAAUUGCUAAUACAACCGAAGUAUGGAACCUAUUAUGAAUUGGUAACUAACCUUAGACAUGGCUUCAACCUGCUUAUAGGAUACAAAUAAAAAAAUAUUAAAUCCCAACUGUACUACAGGGAAAAUAGUUUUGAAACUGUCACUUGACUGUUGUGACUUAUGUGAAUGGGCCCUAUGAAAAUUGUGAUUGGUUAAGGAGCCUAAAAAGGAAAAUAAGCAACUUUAAGAUGUCCAAUAGGUAUAUACGUAAAAGAAUAGACAGCUACAAAGUAUAAUAUACAAAAAUGUCUCAGAUAGCUCCACAUCUUAAAGUUAAAAACACUUGUUUAUGAAUGCCAUCUGCUCCUGAUAGACUAUCAGCAAAACAAUUAUAUACACAAAAUGUUUUUUAAUAUAGGAGAAAGAGUCCUUACUCUGCUAUAUCAAGAUAUCCACAGGAUGAAGCCGCAUGUAGAGGUAUCCAGCCUUCAUUAUCUGGUUGAUUAAUGUUUGCUCCAUUUUCCACCAGAAAUUUCACCAUAUCUACGUUAUCAUCUAUGCAAGCCUAGAAAGAAAGAAA